rnacentral:lncRNA from 1 species
GCUAAAGUUUUAAGAUUCCACUUACAUUUAAGAUUUCUUUGGAACAAGAUGAAACUUUUGUUGAUAAUUCUUUUUGCAAGGGCAAGCUACCGUAAGUGAAUGUCCCUUAAGAAAAACUAUGGGCUACAGCUAUCAUUCCGUGACAGAUUUGGUUGACGGGGUGCUGCCCAAACCAGACAUCAACCGACAAUCCAACAAGGAUCGACUACCCAAUAAUGAUCACAUUUCGGAUGAACCCAUUAUCGAGGCUUUACGACAGAGAAUUUACCAAAAGAUCGAAACGGUCAAGUGGAAGGGUCACCUUAAGUCCUGGGUGGAUGUCGGGGUUCAUAUGCUGAGUGGACCAAUUGGGAGAAUUAAUGAAGCAGUCAGGUUCAUGGGAUACAAUCCCACAUAUGAGCAGGUAAUGGCCAAAACCCGGCAGUUGAUAUGGGAGAAGAGCCAUAGGGCCCUGGAUAUAGUGUGGGGAAAGCUUUCCUGGCUUCUAGGUCUCAUUCAUGCCAAGAUAUUGACUACCCUAGAGCAAAAAAAGGUUGGUGGAUAUUAUUUAUUGAAGAGUUCAAAUUUCAAAGGAUCUGUGAUAUUUUUUCAUUCAGAAGCAAAAUUUGGAUCACAUGGAAGUACUUGAGGAACCGGAAAAAUUAGAUGUACAGUAUAAGGACUAUGUAUGAAGUGUAUAUGAGGGAAUCCCAAAAGUAAUGUGGAAUUUUUGAAUUAUACAAAUAUUUAUGCAUACAUCUAUCCAUAAUACUUUUAUAUUUGGAAGCAGUCCGAUAAAGUAAAAGAAAGAAACUUUUAUCAGCGAAUUCAUUCUUAAUUAGUAAAUGCAAAGGAUAUAAA